rnacentral:misc_RNA from 1 species
GAAAUGCGAUAAGUAAUGUGAAUUGCAGAAUUCAGUGAAUCAUCGAAUCUUUGAACGCACAUUGCGCCCGCCAGUAUUCUGGCGGGCAUGCCUGUUCGAGCGUCAUUACAACCCUCAGGCCCCCGGGCCUGGCGUUGGGGAUCGGCGGAAGCCCCCUGCGGGCACAACGCCGUCCCCCAAAUACAGUGGCGGUCCCGCCGCAGCUUCCAUUGCGUAGUAGCUAACACCUCGCAACUGGAGAGCGGCGCGGCCACGCCCUAAAACACCCAACUUCUGAAUGUUGACCUCGAAUCAGGUAGGAAUACCCGCUGAACUUAAGC